rnacentral:tRNA from 1 species
GGGGCGGGGCUCAGCGGUGGAGCGCCCGCCUAGCACGCGAGAGGCCCUGGGUUCCAUCCUCAGCACCACA